rnacentral:rRNA from 1 species
CGCGUAGGCGGCCUGGUAAGUCAGAUGUGAAAGCCCGGGGCUUAACCCCGGAAGUGCAUUUGAUACUGCCAGGCUUGAGUAUGGGAGGGGGAAGUGGAAUUCCUGGUGUAGAGGUGAAAUUCGUAGAUAUCAGGAGGAACACCAGUGGCGAAGGCGACUUCCUGGACCAAUACUGACGCUGAGGCGCGAAGGCGUGGGGAGCAAACAGGAUUAGAUACCCUGGUAGUC